rnacentral:rRNA from 1 species
GGGUUGUGAGGUUAAGCGACUAAGCGUACACGGUGGAUGCCCUGGCAGUCAGAGGCGAUGAAGGACGUGCUAAUCUGCGAAAAGCGUCGGUAAGGUGAUAUGAACCGUUAUAGCCGGCGAUGUCCGAAUGGGGAAACCCAGUGCAAUUCGUUGCACUAUCGUUAACUGAAUACAUAGGUUAACGAGGCGAACCGGGGGAACUGAAACAUCUAAGUACCCCGAGGAAAAGAAAUCAACCGAGAUUCCCCCAGUAGCGGCGAGCGAACGGGGAGCAGCCCAGAGUCUGAAUCAGCUUGUGUGUUAGUGGAACGGUCUGGAAAGUCCGACGGUACAGGGUGAUAGUCCCGUACACCAAAAUGCACAGGCUGUGAACUCGAAGAGUAGGGCGGGACACGUGGUAUCCUGUCUGAAUAUGGGGGGACCAUCCUCCAAGGCUAAAUACUCCUGACUGACCGAUAGUGAACCAGUACCGUGAGGGAAAGGCGAAAAGAACCCCGGCGAGGGGAGUGAAAAAGAACCUGAAACCGUGUACGUACAAGCAGUGGGAGCACCUUCGGGUGUGACUGCGUACCUUUUGUAUAAUGGGUCAGCGACUUAUAUUCUGUAGCAAGGUUAACCGUAUAGGGGAGCCGCAGGGAAACCGAGUCUUAACUGGGCGUUAAGUUGCAGGGUAUAGACCCGAAACCCGGUGAUCUAGCCAUGGGCAGGUUGAAGGUUGGGUAACACUAACUGGAGGACCGAACCGACUAAUGUUGAAAAAUUAGCGGAUGACUUGUGGCUGGGGGUGAAAGGCCAAUCAAACCGGGAGAUAGCUGGUUCUCCCCGAAAGCUAUUUAGGUAGCGCCUCGUGAACUCAUCUUCGGGGGUAGAGCACUGUUUCGGCUAGGGGGUCAUCCCGACUUACCAACCCGAUGCAAACUACGAAUACCGAAGAAUGUUAUCACGGGAGACACACGGCGGGUGCUAACGUCCGUCGUGAAGAGGGAAACAACCCAGACCGCCAGCUAAGGUCCCAAAGUCAUGGUUAAGUGGGAAACGAUGUGGGAAGGCACAGACAGCCAGGAUGUUGGCUUAGAAGCAGCCAUCAUUUAAAGAAAGCGUAAUAGCUCACUGGUCGAGUCGGCCUGCGCGGAAGAUGUAACGGGGCUAAACCAUGCACCGAAGCUGCGGCAGCGACACUAUGUGUUGUUGGGUAGGGGAGCGUUCUGUAAGCCUGCGAAGGUGUGCUGUGAGGCAUGCUGGAGGUAUCAGAAGUGCGAAUGCUGACAUAAGUAACGAUAAAGCGGGUGAAAAGCCCGCUCGCCGGAAGACCAAGGGUUCCUGUCCAACGUUAAUCGGGGCAGGGUGAGUCGACCCCUAAGGCGAGGCCGAAAGGCGUAGUCGAUGGGAAACAGGUUAAUAUUCCUGUACUUGGUGUUACUGCGAAGGGGGGACGGAGAAGGCUAUGUUAGCCGGGCGACGGUUGUCCCGGUUUAAGCAUGUAGGCUGGUUGUCCAGGCAAAUCCGGAUAAUCAAGGCUGAGGUGUGAUGACGAGGCACUACGGUGCUGAAGUAACAAAUGCCCUGCUUCCAGGAAAAGCCUCUAAGCAUCAGGUAACAUCAAAUCGUACCCCAAACCGACACAGGUGGUCAGGUAGAGAAUACCAAGGCGCUUGAGAGAACUCGGGUGAAGGAACUAGGCAAAAUGGUGCCGUAACUUCGGGAGAAGGCACGCUGGUGUGUAGGUGAAGUCCCUGCGGAUGGAGCUGAGACCAGUCGAAGAUACCAGCUGGCUGCAACUGUUUAUUAAAAACACAGCACUGUGCAAACACGAAAGUGGACGUAUACGGUGUGACGCCUGCCCGGUGCCGGAAGGUUAAUUGAUGGGGUUAUCCGUAAGGAGAAGCUCUUGAUCGAAGCCCCGGUAAACGGCGGCCGUAACUAUAACGGUCCUAAGGUAGCGAAAUUCCUUGUCGGGUAAGUUCCGACCUGCACGAAUGGCGUAAUGAUGGCCAGGCUGUCUCCACCCGAGACUCAGUGAAAUUGAACUCGCUGUGAAGAUGCAGUGUACCCGCGGCAAGACGGAAAGACCCCGUGAACCUUUACUAUAGCUUGACACUGAACAUUGAGCCUUGAUGUGUAGGAUAGGUGGGAGGCUUUGAAGCGUGGACGCCAGUCUGCGUGGAGCCAACCUUGAAAUACCACCCUUUAAUGUUUGAUGUUCUAACGUUGGCCCCUUACCGGGGUUGCGGACAGUGUCUGGUGGGUAGUUUGACUGGGGCGGUCUCCUCCCAAAGCGUAACGGAGGAGCACGAAGGUUAGCUAAUCCUGGUCGGACAUCAGGAGGUUAGUGCAAUGGCAUAAGCUAGCUUGACUGCGAGCGUGACGGCGCGAGCAGGUGCGAAAGCAGGUCAUAGUGAUCCGGUGGUUCUGAAUGGAAGGGCCAUCGCUCAACGGAUAAAAGGUACUCCGGGGAUAACAGGCUGAUACCGCCCAAGAGUUCAUAUCGACGGCGGUGUUUGGCACCUCGAUGUCGGCUCAUCACAUCCUGGGGCUGAAGUAGGUCCCAAGGGUAUGGCUGUUCGCCAUUUAAAGUGGUACGCGAGCUGGGUUUAGAACGUCGUGAGACAGUUCGGUCCCUAUCUGCCGUGGGCGCUGGAGAAUUGAGGGGGGCUGCUCCUAGUACGAGAGGACCGGAGUGGACGCAUCACUGGUGUUCGGGUUGUCAUGCCAAUGGCACUGCCCGGUAGCUAAAUGCGGAAGAGAUAAGUGCUGAAAGCAUCUAAGCACGAAACUUGCCCCGAGAUGAGUUCUCCCUGAGACUAUAAGUCUCCUGAAGGAACGUUAAAGACGAUGACGUUGAUAGGCCGGGUGUGUAAGCGCAGCGAUGCGUUGAGCUAACCGGUACUAAUGAACCGUGAGGCUUAACCUUACAACGCCGAAG